UACAGAGGGCUCAAGCGUUGUUCGGAUUCAUUGGGCGUAAAGGGUGUGUAGGUGGCGCCGUAAGUCGGGUGUGAAAUCUCGGGGCUUAACUCCGAAACUGCAUUCGAGACUGCGGUGCUUGAGGACUGGAGAGGAGACUGGAAUUCAUGGUGUAGCAGUGAAAUGCGUAGAGAUCAUGAGGAAGACCAGUGGCGAAGGCGGGUCUCUGGACAGUGCCUGACACUGAGACACGAAGGCCAGGGGAGCAAACGGG
rnacentral:rRNA from 1 species